AUUGAACGCUGGCGGAAUGCUUUACACAUGCAAGUCGAACGGCAGCACGGACUUCGGUCUGGUGGCGAGUGGCGAACGGGUGAGUAAUGUAUCGGAACGUGCCCAGUCGUGGGGGAUAACGUAGUGAAAAUUACGCUAAUACCGCAUACGAUCUAUGGAUGAAAGCGGGGGAUCGCAAGACCUCGAGCGAUUGGAGCGGCCGAUAUCAGAUUAGGUAGUUGGUGGGGUAAAGGCCCACCAAGCCAACGAUCUGUAGCUGGUCUGAGAGGACGACCAGCCACACUGUAACUGAGACACGGUGCGGACUCCUACGGGGGGCAGCAGUGGGGAAUGCUGGACAAUGGGCGAAAGCCUGAUCCAGCCAUGCCGCGGGCAGGAUGAAGGACCUCGGGUUGUAAACUGCUUUUGUACAGAACGAAAAGGCUUCUACUAAUACUAGGAGCUCAUGACGGUACUGUAAGAAUAAGCACCGGCUAACUACGUGCCAGCAGCCGCAGUAA
rnacentral:rRNA from 1 species